rnacentral:rRNA from 1 species
AUUGAACGCUGGCGGCAGGCCUAACACAUGCAAGUCGAACGGUAGCAGAAAGCAGCUUGCUGCUUUGCUGACGAGUGGCGGACGGGUGAGUAAUGUCUGGGAAACUGCCUGAUGGAGGGGGAUAACUACUGGAAACGGUAGCUAAUACCGCAUAACGUCGCAAGACCAAAGAGGGGGACCUUCGGGCCUCUUGCCAUCGGAUGUGCCCAGAUGGGAUUAGCUAGUAGGUGGGGUAAAGGCUCACCUAGGCGACGAUCCCUAGCUGGUCUGAGAGGAUGACCAGCCACACUGGAACUGAGACACGGUCCAGACUCCUACGGGAGGCAGCAGUGGGGAAUAUUGCACAAUGGGCGCAAGCCUGAUGCAGCCAUGCCGCGUGUAUGAAGAAGGCCUUCGGGUUGUAAAGUACUUUCAGCGGGGAGGAAGGGAGUAAAGUUAAUACCUUUGCUCAUUGACGUUACCCGCAGAAGAAGCACCGGCUAACUCCGUG